AUAGCGGCUUCCUAUUAGUCUAAGUAUGACUCUUUGAGAUCUAGACCAGGCAAAGCCCUUUCCAUUCUUGUAGCAGGGCGCAGUCCUAAUUGAUUGUUUCAUCGUGUUAAAUGGAAAAACUUUAUUGAUUGCUAACCCCAAGCGAAGAGCUUAUUGUCUUCCUCGGCUGCCGAAGCCUCCUAUAAUGUCAAAUGAAAGAAAUGCUUUCCCCACUACUCCUAUUGAUAGGACGACUGCGACUUUCAAAUACAAUAAAGAUAGCUAUUUCUUUCUCCUAGUGACUACUCCGAGUAAAGACUACGGACCUUAACCCGUUAACGGGAUUUUUUACAUUACUAAAUAAAUAAAAUAUAUUCUGAAGAAAGGCUUCCUCUUCCCCUUAUUCUUUAAACCAGUCUGACUCUUCCAAUUUGUAGAGUUGGGCAGGCGAAUCAAGAUAAAUGACUAGGGGAUUUCCUGCCAGAGUUCCCUCCCUUGGGGUGUCAUCAAUGUUGGCAGAUCCGUUAAUGCUGAAGCAGAACCAUCUGCUGCCGCUGGAGUGCCUUUACCGCAAUAUAUGUUGUCAGGUAAGUGUCCUUAGUGUUAGUGGAAAGCUAGGGAUCGAAUUGAAGNNNNN
rnacentral:lncRNA from 1 species